rnacentral:rRNA from 1 species
UUUUAUGGAGAGUUUGAUCCUGGCUCAGAGUGAACGCUGGCGGCGUGCCUAAUACAUGCAAGUCGAACGAUGAAGCUUCUAGCUUGCUAGAAUGCUGAUUAGUGGCGCACGGGUGAGUAACGCAUAGGUCAUGUGCCUCUUAGUUUGGGAUAGCCAUUGGAAACGAUGAUUAAUACCAGAUACUCCCUACGGGGGAAAGAUUUAUCGCUAAGAGAUCAGCCUAUGUCCUAUCAGCUUGUUGGUAAGGUAAUGGCUUACCAAGGCUAUGACGGGUAUCCGGCCUGAGAGGGUGAACGGACACACUGGAACUGAGACACGGUCCAGACUCCUACGGGAGGCAGCAGUAGGGAAUAUUGCUCAAUGGGGGAAACCCUGAAGCAGCAACGCCGCGUGGAGGAUGAAGGUUUUAGGAUUGUAAACUCCUUUUGUUAGAGAAGAUAAUGACGGUAUCUAACGAAUAAGCACCGGCUAACUCCGUGCCAGCAGCCGCGGUAAUACGGAGGGUGCAAGCGUUACUCGGAAUCACUGGGCGUAAAGAGCGCGUAGGCGGGAUAGUCAGUCAGGUGUGAAAUCCUAUGGCUUAACCAUAGAACUGCAUUUGAAACUACUAUUCUAGAGUGUGGGAGAGGUAGGUGGAAUUCUUGGUGUAGGGGUAAAAUCCGUAGAGAUCAAGAGGAAUACUCAUUGCGAAGGCGACCUGCUGGAACAUUACUGACGCUGAUUGCGCGAAAGCGUGGGGAGCAAACAGGAUUAGAUACCCUGGUAGUCCACGCCCUAAACGAUGGAUGCUAGUUGUUGGAGGGCUUAGUCUCUCCAGUAAUGCAGCUAACGCAUUAAGCAUCCCGCCUGGGGAGUACGGUCGCAAGAUUAAAACUCAAAGGAAUAGACGGGGACCCGCACAAGCGGUGGAGCAUGUGGUUUAAUUCGAAGAUACACGAAGAACCUUACCUAGGCUUGACAUUGAGAGAAUCCGCUAGAAAUAGUGGAGUGUCUAGCUUGCUAGACCUUGAAAACAGGUGCUGCACGGCUGUCGUCAGCUCGUGUCGUGAGAUGUUGGGUUAAGUCCCGCAACGAGCGCAACCCCCUUUCUUAGUUGCUAACAGGUCAUGCUGAGAACUCUAAGGAUACUGCCUCCGUAAGGAGGAGGAAGGUGGGGACGACGUCAAGUCAUCAUGGCCCUUACGCCUAGGGCUACACACGUGCUACAAUGGGGUGCACAAAGAGAAGCAAUACUGCGAAGUGGAGCCAAUCUUCAAAACGCCUCUCAGUUCGGAUUGUAGGCUGCAACUCGCCUGCAUGAAGCUGGAAUCGCUAGUAAUCGCAAAUCAGCCAUGUUGCGGUGAAUACGUUCCCGGGUCUUGUACUCACCGCCCGUCACACCAUGGGAGUUGUGUUUGCCUUAAGUCAGGAUGCUAAAUUAGCUACUGCCCACGGCACACACAGCGACUGGGGUGAAGUCGUAACAAGGUAACCGUAGGUGAACCUGCGGUUGGAUCACCUCCUUUCUAGA